rnacentral:rRNA from 1 species
GAUGAACGCUGGCGGCGUGCCUAAUACAUGCAAGUCGAGCGAACGGACGAGAAGCUUGCUUCUCUGAUGUUAGCGGCGGACGGGUGAGUAACACGUGGAUAACCUACCUAUAAGACUGGGAUAGCUUCGGGAAACCGGAGCUAAUACCGGAUAAUAUUUUGAACCGCAUGGUUCAAAAGUAAAAGACGGUCUUGCUGUCACUUAUAGAUGGAUCCGCGCUGCAUUAGCUAGUUGGUAAGGUAACGGCUUACCAAGGCAACGAUGCAUAGCCGACCUGAGAGGGUGAUCGGCCACACUGGAACUGAGACACGGUCCAGACUCCUACGGGAGGCAGCAGUAGGGAAUCUUCCGCAAUGGGCGAAAGCCUGACGGAGCAACGCCGCGUGAGUGAUGAAGGUCUUCGGAUCGUAAAACUCUGUUAUUAGGGAAGAACAUAUGUGUAAGUAACUGUGCACAUCUUGACGGUACCUAAUCAGAAAGCCACGGCUAACUACGUG